rnacentral:rRNA from 1 species
AUUGAACGCUGGCGGCAGGCCUAACACAUGCAAGUCGAGCGGAUGAAGGGAGCUUGCUCCUGGAUUCAGCGGCGGACGGGUGAGUAAUGCCUAGGAAUCUGCCUGGUAGUGGGGGAUAACGUCCGGAAACGGGCGCUAAUACCGCAUACGUCCUGAGGGAGAAAGUGGGGGAUCUUCGGACCUCACGCUAUCAGAUGAGCCUAGGUCGGAUUAGCUAGUUGGUGGGGUAAAGGCCAACCAAGGCGACGAUCCGUAACUGGUCUGAGAGGAUGAUCAGUCACACUGGAACUGAGGCACGGUCCAGACUCCUACGGGAGGCAGCAGUGGGGAAUAUUGGACAAUGGGCGAAAGCCUGAUCCAGCCAUGCCGCGUGUGUGAAGAAGGUCUUCGGAUUGUAAAGCACUUUAAGUUGGGAGGAAGGGCAGUAAGUUAAUACCUUGCUGUUUUGACGUUACCAACAGAAUAAGCACCGGCUAACUUCGUG